rnacentral:rRNA from 1 species
GACGAACGCUGGCGGCGUGCUUAACACAUGCAAGUCGAACGGAGUGGCGAACGGGUGAGUAACACGUGGGUGACCUGCCCUGCACUUCGGGAUAAGCCUGGGAAACUGGGGCUAAUACCGGCUAGUGUGGGAUGGGUCCGCGGCCUAUCGGCUUGUUGGUGGGGUAUUGGGCUACCAAGGCGGCGACGGGUAGCCGGCAUGAGAGGGUGGACGGCCUCAAUGGGACGGAGACACGUACCAGAGGCCUACGGGGGGCAGCAGUGGGGAAUAUUGCACAAUGGGGGGAAGCCUGAUGCGGCGGCGACGCGUGUGGAAUGACUGCCAUCGGGUUGUGAACUCCUUUCACUAUCGACGCGGUAGAUGGAGAAGAAGCACCGGCUAACUACGUGCCAGCAGCCGCGGUAAUUC